GCCCUGAAAGUUGAACCGGUCAAAUUCUAAAUUUGAAAAGUGUAUGGUGAUUUCUUUUUGGUUGAAACCAACCGUAAAGGCAAACAAAAUUCAAACAGUGUAAAUGCAGAGGCAGAGCGGCGAAACCAGAGGAGAGAGAAAGAGCAAAUGAAGAAAGACAAAGGAGUUGCAGUUGCUGUUGCGAGUCCCAAGGACAGUGAUGAAGUCGAUGAUAAACCUGAAGAUCCCACUCUUCGCCCCUUUCGAUUCGCAGCUCGUAACGCAUCUUCCAAAUACGAUUUCGUCAAGGUUAAAGUUUGGCUAGGUGACAAUGCUGAUCAUUACUAUGUUCUAUCGAGAUUUUUGCUCAGCAGAAUGCUAACUGUCACCAAGAUUCCUAAUCAUGUUGCUAUCAAGAUUGCUUUGGAACUGAAAAAACUGCUUAUAGACAACAGUCUGCUUGAUGUCUCUCAAAAUGACCUGGAGGCUAAUCUAUUCAAGCUCAUGGAACGUAGGGGCUAUGGUGAAGAAUAUAUAAGCCGUUAUAAGAUGAUGACCAGGUUUCACCAUCAGCGGGUGCCAUUGGUAAUUCUUGUUUGUGGAACUGCUUGUACUGGAAAGUCCACCAUUGCUACACAACUGGCGCAAAGACUAAAUUUACCAAACGUCUUGCAGACAGAUAUGGUCUACGAACUCCUUCGCACAUCAACAGAUGCUCCGUUGACAUCUACUCCUGUGUGGGCGAGGGAAUUUGAUUCUUCUGAGGAGUUCAUCACGGAAUUCUGUAGAGAAUGCAGGAUUGUUCGUAAAGGUUUGGCCGGCGAUCUCAAGAAAGCAAUGAAAGAUGGAAAACCGAUUAUUAUUGAGGGAAUACAUUUAGAUCCUAGCAUUUACUUAAUGGAUGAUGAAAAUAAAUUGUCCAUGAAAACGCAACCGAAAGUUGAAAAGGCAGAGGUUGCAUCUGAUUCAUUAGCAGAUGAUUCUACCUGCCAAAUGCAAAAUCAACCUGCUGAUGAUGUAAAACUUGAUCCUGGAAGUAGAAGCCUUUGUACUGAGAAUACAAGCUCUGAAGAACAUGUAUCUUGCGACCAGACACAUGAUGUCCUACGCAAUCUUGCCUCUGUCAAUAUAGAAGAUGGAGUCUCUGCUGAUAAAGUUGGGACUCUUGAAGAAACGAAGGUAGAUGAAAAUCCUCAACCAAAGAAAGAGAGGUCUGGAGCUGAACCAAUCAUUGUACCUAUAGUCCUUAAAAUGGCUGAAUUUGAUCAUGAGGCUUUACUUGAAGAAUGGAUACCAACUCGUACAUUUACUGAUAACAGCAUUGUGAAGGAUAAGCAUAAGCUAAUGAAGAAUUUGAAAAUCAUUCAAGACUACCUUUGCUCAUUUGAGUCACAGGGUCUAACUGUUGUGAAUAUAUCUGCAACAACGUUCCCCCAAACGUUGGAUUGGCUACACAGCUAUCUUCUUCAGUGCAUUGAACAAGGUAUAUCUUCUGUAUCUACGCCCAAGCAACAAGCCAAGAACUAAUAUGACUGCACGUGGCAAUGGUGAUACCUUGUUUAUUACAAUGAAUGCUAGUCAUGGUCAAACAAUGGCAAAGAAAAGAAGACUACUAAAGAUUUUCACUGAACUUCUGUUUUUCUGCAAUUUGACAAGUUUUAUGGAAAAAUAAGACCCUGUCGAUGGUAACAAUUCAUGCUGGCCUCAGGGAAACAAAUUGUAGAAGAGAAUAAACUAUGAAGGGUUAAUAUUAGCAGCAAGGACGAUUUGAACAUCAAAAAAUGGUGGUUGCUGUACACUUUCUUGUCGUAUACUUGUCUUUUAUUUAUAUAAAAAGAUCCAAAAGGAAAUAAGGGUCUCAGAAUGUAUCAAAACAAUCGAAAUGCUUCAAAUGUUGUGUAAUUGUCUCCAGAACUUCCUCGAGUAUUCUCAUUAGACUUCAGUUCAUUCUGUAGAAUGUAUAAUUGUGUUCAAAACAGUUGUAUCAAUUGUCAUAAUGAGGAGAUGUUAAUUCUAUGCUGAA